rnacentral:rRNA from 1 species
CGGACGGCUGAGUAACGCGUAGGUGACCUGCCCCGAAGUGGGGAAUAACUGCCCGAAAGGGUGGCUAAUACCGCAUGUGGUCACACGUUCAAUCGUGUGAGUAAAGCCGCAAGGCGCUUCGGGAGGGGCCUGCGUCCGAUUAGCUCGUUGGUGGGGUAACGGCUCACCAAGGCGACGAUCGGUAGGUGGUCUGAGAGGACGAUCACCCAGACUGGGACUGAGACACGGCCCAG